rnacentral:pre_miRNA from 1 species
CAGCUACUCCCUCCGUUCGGAAUUACUUGUCAUUAAAAUGGAUGUAUCUAGAACUAAAAUACAUCUUGAUACAUCCAUUUCAACGACAAGUAUUUCCGAACGGAGGGAGUACGUC